rnacentral:lncRNA from 1 species
CGAAUGGAAAGCUUAGGCAUAGAUCAGGCUUUCUAAUUAUUUCAAGACAUUUCCAUUUUACUUAUUGUAUAUAACAUAGUUUCCUACUGAAGUAUGUUCUUUGUUAUCCAAUACCUUUAUUAAACUACCAGAACAUAAGCCUUUUAAUUUCCCUCUUCAAGAAAUGUCCUGUAUAAUGUUUUACAUUUCUAAUAUGGAUCAAAAUUUCAUUGGAAAUUUUUUUCAGUUUCUUCAUAGUCUCGUUGAUGUGGAUUUUCCUCCAGGCACACAGAUUGAAAGCCAGUCAUAUCAAGGGGAAUUCUUCUGGAUUCAUUAUCAGAAGGAAGAUCGGGACUUUGAGGAGAAGAGCUGAAAAGAGCAUAUUAUAUGGAGACCUAAAGAGAAGAAUUAAGGAAACUGAAUCUGUGAGAGACUGUAGUUUAUCCAGUGUCCUCCAGCACAUGUGUUGAGGUAUGAUUCAAAUUCAGGUCUUACUUUUUUAAUUUGGAAAAUUUUAUUUAAUUCAUUAAUUUAGAACAUUUUUCCAUGGUUAUAAGAUUCAUGUUCUUUCUCUCCCAUACUCCACCCUCCUCCCAUAGAUGACACAAUUCCACUGGGUUUUACAUGUGUCAUUGAUCAAAACCCAUUUCCAUAUUAUUGAUAUUUGCACUAGGGUGAUUGUUUAGAGACAACAUAUCCAACAAUCUCCCCAUCAACCCAUGUAAUCAAGCAGUUGUUUUUCUUCUAUGUUUCUUCUUCCACAGUUCUUCCUCUGAAGGUGGAUAGUUCAAGUUUUUCUGAUGCCAGGUGUUAUGCUUUGCUCCAUACUACCUCUCUUCCAUCUUUUCCCCUCAACAUUUUUGUAAAUGAAUUUAUAUUCUAAUUUAGUGAUACCUUCUAUUCAGAUGCCUUUGGUGACAAGAAUAUAUUGUGUUUUCUGUUUUUACUUCAAUGCUGGAAGAGGAUCUGGGCUAGAUAUAUAACAGAUGGAAGGAAGAUGGAUGGGCAGGCCAAAUGCUGAUGAUGUUUUCCAUACUAUUAGGAAACCUUUAGUCCUCUAGUACACAGAGAGAAUACUUUAUGGAUGACUUCAGGAAACUGUAAACAUGAAUCACAUAGGAUAAGCACCAACAGAUUGAGACUUUAUUGGUAGAAGCUCUCACAUUAAAGAAUUCUCAGAGUCAAUGAAAUAUUGAAAGAAGGAAUAUGCUUAUGUAUAUAAAGAAGUAAAAAAAUUCUGUAGUAUGAAGAAGUUAUGAGAUCAGAUAGUAGCAGUCUAUUUUUGGGAAUCUCAUUUCUGCCUCCUUCAUGAUUGUAUUCUACUCAGAUUUUGACAUUUAGAAUGAAUGAGAUAACCUUAUCAGAAAACAUUACACUUGAAAAGGGAAAAUAAAUAUACAUCUAUGAUAGCA